rnacentral:rRNA from 1 species
CACCGCCCGUCACAUCACGAAAGUGGGUUGUACCUAGACCGUCUGUGCCCUGACCCGCAAGGGAAGGAGCGGCCCAAGGUAUGACUCAUGAUUGGGGUG